rnacentral:tRNA from 2 species
GCCAAGGUGGCGGAGCGGCCAACGCAAUCGCCUGCAGAGCGAUAACACCUCCGGUUCGAGUCCGGACCUUGGCU